UGGGGAAUAUUGGACAAUGGGCGAAAGCCUGAUCCAGCCAUGCCGCGUGUGUGAAGAAGGUCUUCGGAUUGUAAAGCACUUUAAGUUGGGAGGAAGGGCAGUAAGCGAAUACCUUGCUGUUUUGACGUUACCGACAGAAUAAGCACCGGCUAACUCUGUGCCAGCAGCCGCGGUAAUACAGAGGGUGCAAGCGUUAAUCGGAUUUACUGGGCGUAAAGCGCGCGUAGGCGGCUAAUUAAGUCAAAUGUGAAAUCCCCGAGCUUAACUUGGGAAUUGCAUUCGAUACUGGUUAGCUAGAGUGUGGGAGAGGAUGGUAGAAUUCCAGGUGUAGCGGUGAAAUGCGUAGAGAUCUGGGGGAAUACCGAUGGCGAAGGCAGCCAUCUGGCCUAACACUGACGCUGAGGUGCGAAAGCAUGGGGAGCAAACAGG
rnacentral:rRNA from 1 species